CAUGUAGUCCCUCGGUCUGGAAUUACUUGCCACGGAAAUGGAUGUAUCUAGACGUAUUUUAGUUCUAGAUGCAUCCAUUUCUGCGACAAGUAAUUUUGGAUGGAGGGAGUAUGAA
rfam:Triticum aestivum genome assembly, contig: Triticum_aestivum_CS42_TGACv1_scaffold_376437_5AL